rnacentral:rRNA from 1 species
GUCUAUGGCCAUGCCACCCUCGAUCCCAUCUGAUCUCGGAAGCUAAGCAGGGUUGGGCCUGGUUAGUACUUGGGUGGGAGGCCAUCUAGGAAGACCAGGUGCUGUAGGUG